rnacentral:rRNA from 1 species
GACGAACGCUGGCGGCGUGCUUAACACAUGCAAGUCGAACGGAAAGGCCCUGCUUUUGUGGGGUGCUCGAGUGGCGAACGGGUGAGUAACACGUGAGUAACCUGCCCUUGACUUUGGGAUAACUUCAGGAAACUGGGGCUAAUACCGGAUAGGAGAUCCUGCUGCAUGGUGGGGGUUGGAAAGUUUCGGCGGUUGGGGCUGGUCUCGAGGCUUAUCAGCUUGUUGGUGGGGUAGUGGCUUACCAAGGGUUUGACGGGUAGGCGGCCUUGGAGGGUGACCGGCCACAUUGGGACUGAGGUACGGCUCAGUCGCCUAUGGGCGGCAGCAGUGGGGAAUAUGGCGCAAUGGGGGGAAGCCUGAUGCAACAACGCCGCGAGCGGGAUGACGGGCUUCGGGGUGUAAACCGCUUUCGCCUGUAACGAAGCCGGAGUGACGGUAAUGGGUAAAGAAGCACCGGCUAACUACGUG